rnacentral:tRNA from 1 species
UCCGCAGUAGCCUUGGCGGUCAAAGCGUCCCCCUGAAGAGGGGAAGAACCCGGUUCGACUCCGGGCUGCGGAACCA